UUCUCUUAUUCUUUAUCUUUCCUAUUAUUUCUUCUUCUGCUCUUUCCUGCUCAUCAUCUGCCGAUGAAUUUGAGAAUCAAAUUCAUGAUUCUGAGAUUGAAAUAAGAGUGUUAAAGGUUAGUGAAGGGGCUAUUGGUAGAGAAGGUUAUUGUAUGGUCGAUUCAGGCUCAAGAGAAGAGGUGAAUUAGAGAAAGAAGAAAAUAGGUUUUCUGAGAAAUGAAUCGAUUGAGGAUUUAUGGAGUAUUGAUGUUGAAGUUAAAUAAUUAUAUAUGGGUAUUGUGUUAGUUUAGCAGUUGAGGUGAUGAGUUGAUAAAUUAAUGAAAUUAGGGUUUACCCAGAUGAAGUGAGGAUUCAAUUAGUGAUGGAGAAGAAGAAGAUAAAGGAUUUGUUUCGUUAACUUGAAGACUUAGCAACUUAUUUCUCAAUUACAGUGAGGAGUUGAAUGAAAUUAGGGUUUUAUAAGAAGAAUUCAGAGAAUUAGGGUUCAUGUGUUCUUCCCCAAAUUGGAAUUAGGGUUUCAGUAUAAAUAAAUUGGGGGAAAAGCAAUUCAGUUGAUGUCGGUACUUGGGUAAGCUUUUAAUUGUUUUAAUUUUGGUAUUUGAAGGAUAAAUUAUUGAAUUUUUGAAGUUAUAAGAAUGAUAAUGUAUUUACUGUGGUUGUGGAAUGUUUUGGUAGUGAUGUUGUUAAUCCGGUAGGAAGGUUGUUAAAUGAAAAUGGAGGUUAUGGGAAUUGGAUAUUAUUUUAACAAGAUUCAGAUGUUGAAUUAGGAAAUGGUAAUAAUGUUGUUGGUAGUCUGAACUGUGUUGGUUGUAAUGAACUGGACAAGGAAAUGGUAAUGGUGAUAGCUUUAGUGUUGAAUGUUGAUUAUGAGAAGGAAGGUAUAGAAUGUUGUUGUUCUGUGGAGGUGCAGGUGAAUGGUGAUGGAUGUAAUUGUAAGUUUUUGGUGGCUGAAGUAAAUGGGAUUGGGUCGGUCUAUGUGGGAUUGCAGUUGAGUGUGUUCGACUGAUAGUUGUGAUCUGCAGAUGGUUUUGUGGAAUGUAGCUGCAGUUCAAGUUGCAAGUGGUGGUGCAUGUCAUAUAAGGUGGAAUGGAUUGUAAUGAAAGUGAAGUUAUUUACAUGGUGGUGGGUGUAAGUGAUAAUUAGGUCUAAUAGUUCACCUCAGUGAAGUGUUAUUGCAUAAAUGGAUUUGGAGCGUGACAGAGACUUUGGAAUGAAACAUGUGGUGUUGUUUGAAUGUUGAUUGUUCAAUUUGGUGCUUCUAGUUCAUGCUUGCAACUACAGAAUAAGUUGGUUAUUAACAACGAUCGAUUCAAAGGACGAACCAGUGGAUCGUGGAUCUCGAGGUAGGAGUGGCUUGUCAUCAAAAAAGUUUCAGAGACUGAUCAGAGUUGCCCAGCGAAAGCUUCAUCGGUUGAGUUCGUUAGUUGGUUAACUUCUGAUAUGUUUAUUAUGUUGCAUAUUAUUUUUGUAAACCAAAUGACUAUUGUAUAUGUAUCAUUUGAGAGGAGAUCUUGUAUAUAUAUAUAUUUCUGAGCGGGUCUAGCUUUGGGUU